rnacentral:misc_RNA from 1 species
ACACCCUCAAGCUUUGCUUGGUGUUGGGCGUCUGUCCUGCUGUUUCAGCGUGGACUCGCCCUAAAGGUAUUGGCAGCGGCUCAAGCCCAGCUUCUCGCGCAGCAGUUCGCGCUUCUUGAGGCAUAAGGGGGGCCUGCGUCCAUAAAGUCCACUUCUUGAC